UUAUCAUAGAUUUAAUUUAAUUUCAUCAUUAGUUUCAAACUCGGAACAAUAAACACAGGUCAUCAGAAUGAUUGGUUUUCCAAUAUAUAUAUAUAUAUUGGAAAACCAAUGAAUAUCAUGGAAAUAUAUAUAUAUAUUUCAAUGAUGUUCAUCAAUAUAAUAAGAGAUUGAUCGAUUUACACUACAAUUGUUUUUUAUGUACUUCUGGUUUUAAAUUGGUUUCCUCUGGUACAUUGCAAUCCACUUUGUUGAAUAUACAAUCCCAUUCAAAACAAAAACACAAUAAAUAACAUAAAACAGACUGAACAGAACACACUACCCAUGAUCCCCCAGUCUAUUCCCUCCUGAAAGGCAAGGCAAAAAGAGGCAAUGUUGACUGUCACUUCCCCCAACCACAGUCCUCAAAGAACAAAAUAAUAUUCCCUCCCCAAAAUGAACAGCUCAAACAAAAAUAAUCAUAUUAACAACAGAGGAAUCUGUUUCGAAUCGUGACACCAUUCUAAGAAUUCUGGAAAUUUGACUAGAGGGUUAAAAUAACAUGUAUUUUUCCAGUAACAUCCCAUUUUCUUAACUUGUCUGACAUGAUUAACAUAGAGAACAAGUCUUUAUUUAAUCCCCCCCCCCCCUCUUCCAAUGUACACACAACCCAAGCCAUUGACAUCAUACCUAAGUUAUUACUAACUUUAUGCAAAUUACAAAGAAAACAUAGGGUCCGACAUGAUAUUUUAUAAAUGUCAUGUGUUUUAGUUAGAGCAUUGUGAUUUUAUUGCCAACCUGUGACGGUCCAGUGCCUCAAAAGGUUGCCUCCUAUGUUGAAUCCACCGAACACCUCUAAGGGUUGGCAAUAACACAAUAUUCUCAUCCACAUCAUAUUCUAGCCCCGCAAAAUGCACCCAGAAUACAACAGGAAAAAGUGCCUGGACAUUAAAAGUUGCACAGACCCAUCUUCACAGAGAAAAAAAGCAGCAGAAAAUGAGCACUCACAGAACAUAAAGUUGUCUAUUUUUGUAUCUAAAUUUACUGAGCACUCUUAGGUCAACCCUUGGAUAUUUACUGAGCACUCUUAGGUCAACCCUUGGAUAUUUACUGAGCACUCUUAGGUCAACCCUUGGAUAUUUACUGAGCACUCUUAGGUCAACCCUUGGAUAUUUACUGAGCACUCUUAGGUCAACCCUUGGAUAUUUACUGAGCACUCUUAGGUCAACCCUUGGAUAUUUACUGAGCACUCUUAGGUCAACCCUUGGAUAUUUACUGAGCACUCUUAGGUCAACCCUUGGAUAUUUACUGAGCACUCUUAGGUCAACCCUUGGAUAUUUACUGAGCACUCUUAGGUCAACCCUUGGAUAUUUACUGAGCACUCUUAGGUCAACCCUUGGAUAUUUACUGAGCACUCUUAGGUCAACCCUUGGAUAUUUACUGAGCACUCUUAGGUCAACCCUUGGAUAUUUACUGAGCACUCUUAGGUCAACCCUUGGAUAUUUACUGAGCACUCUUAGGUCAACCCUUGGAUAUUUACUGAGCACUCUUAGGUCAACCCUUGGAUAUUUACUGAGCACUCUUAGGUCAACCCUUGGAUUUGUGAACAACACAGUAGUCCUACCCCGACACGUCGUGUCAUGUCACUCCAAUUCACUGAGACAAUAAUAACGAGAAGGCAGCCCUCAAUUUUUUGUCACCUUCAAAAUUGUGAUUAUUUACUAUUCAAAUGUUUAUAUAGCUUCAUGUAGUUUUUCGUUUUCACAUUGUAGAUUUUCAUGAACUAUUAUAAUCCCUGACCUGAGGAAAUAGGAACCCCCUUCCCCCAAAUAUACCCCCACACUACAACACCAGACAAUACAGACUUGUUUUUAUACAUGUUUUGUUUGUUUUGUUAAACAGCUAUAGAUAAUGGUCAUAGUUUUUUUUAUCUUUAAAUUGUUGUCAGCACGACAGAGACACACAAAAGAUAAGUUGUGCUAUUAUUAGUUAUAGGAGCAUAUGUCUAAAGACUUGGUACAGAUUAAAGUAGUUUUAUGGUGGGGGAGAGGGAUGAAGCACAUUUUACUUAGGUUUGGUUUCUCUUGCAUAUCUUCAAAUAGCACAUAAUGUCACCAUCUAUUUGCCGGGUAUGACAUGUUGACUAAGAUCUGAAAGGGUUAAAAGGUCAUGUGACUAGGUAUUUUGGGUUAAGGGUAUGCUUUCAAAAACAGGUACCAGUACUAUUGCUGUUAAAGUGACCCGGGUAAAAUAUGUUGUGUUCCUCUACUUGUUUUUGAUGGCAGUUGGCAGCAUAAGCAAGAAGACCUGGUCUUUGGUAAUUUCCCUCUGAAUUAGUUCUCGCUCUACUUAAGUGGAUUAAAGGGGGAGGGUGGGGGAUAUGCUUCACAGGGAGAUAAUGGAUAAGGCCAUUCCCAUUAACAUGUGUGUGUGAGAGAGAGAGAGAGAGAGAGAGAGAGAGAGAGAGAGAGAGAGAGAGAGAGAGAGAGAGAGAGAGAGAGAGAGAGAGAGAGAGAGAGAGAGAGAGAGAGAGAGAGAGAGAGAGAGAGAGAGAGAGAGAAAAGAAAGAGAGAGUGUGGGGGGGGGGGCGAGAGCAAGAGCAAGGGAAUAUCUGUGUCGUUUAUUCGUAAAGUGAUGGGUGGUUGGGGGGGGGGGGCUCUGCCAGUUAAUAUUCCUUGAGCAUACCUGGAGAAAUGGCAAACUUGACCAGUCUGAAAGAGUCAGUGGGCUAAUCUGUUACCUCACCACUCUGCUCAUCGAAUUCAGUUGUCAUGGAAACAGCUUGCCCACAUCGGUGAGGUCUAAGUGGCCUAAUCUGUCAAGAUAAACUAGGGAUAUUCCCAGGGCGGCAGUGUUUCACCAACACACACUCACACACACAUUCACAGUGUAGGAUCCUGAAUCAGUGAGGGGGGAGCUGGGGACGGAGGUGAAACAGGAGGAUGUAGGAAGUAUGCAGAUCCGGUGGACCAGAGGGGAAGAGGUCAUGUUGAAGUGACAUAACCUAUGGGAACAACUAUAUAUCCCACAGUUCCAGGGGUCUUUCUGUUACUACUCAUAACGUAGGCUAACAGAGCUGGCAGAUCGAUAGCACUAGCAACAGGUAGGCCUUUACGAGGACAUGGGACAAGAGGUAACCAUGCAAGAGCAAUCCACUAAGACCAUACCAUUAAGCGCACCAAUGAGAAAAUAACAGAAAAUAAAAGCCUCUCCCUAGUUUCUUGGCAGUGUUUAUCUUACAGAGGUAAACCGCAAAAAGACACAUACACGCAAUAAGGUAGAGAGGAGCUCACUGCUCACAGCAGUUAGUGAAGCCCUGCUUGAGUUCAGUUUCCUCUUUACCUGUCUGCUUCACACAAACACAAAAAUAUGCUAUAUAAAAUAUACUCUAUUACUAUGUUUAAAAAAGAAAAAGGCAGUAACUAGGGAGAAAUGAAAGAAAGAGAGAGAACCACAGCACUAGCUAAACGCUCACUCUAUCUUGUGUGCUGGAAUGCUAAGACGUUUUUCAUGACAUUUCUAGGAAUGUUCACUUAAGUUUUACAGCAACUCUGAAUCUGUCGAUGAAGCUGGUACCCUUUCUCUAGAUCCUCUUGUUCUACUACUGUUUGUCUAUGCCAGUUGCUUCAUCUAUCUUAAUACUUGUACCUUCACUUUCAAAUAAGGCUGAGUUGUCUGUGUGUGUGCUCAUCAAUAGGUGAGGUUUUGCUGCAAGAGGUUCUCUCUCUGCCGGUCAUUCUGUUCACCAGUCAGACAGCGGUCAUUCUGUUGACCAGUCAGACAGCGGUCGUUCUGUUCACCAGUCAGACAGCGGUCAUUCUGUUGACCAGUCAGACAGCGCCAUCAAUAUCAAAGUCCUUUGUGCAUUUCACACCACCUAACCGUUUUCAGUCAGCCAUUCCCCCUACACAAAAUAAAGAGUGGAUGGGAACAAUUUGACCAUUAAAGUGAUACGUUUUGAUUAGAGACUAAGGCUUUUACUGUGUCAUUGUGAUUAUUUAGUUAGUAAUGACAUCUCUGUAGGAUUGGUCCAUUGUCACAGCAACUUUAUGCAAUUUUAUGUUGCUGAAAUGAACAGAUGAAUCAGGUUCAAAUUAUGAUCCACCAUACAAAAACUAGUUAUUCCCUCCUUUCUAUCAAUAUUGUUAUUUUCCCCACUCUGGCUUGUUAUAUUGAUCUCUACGAUAAUAUUUACGGUUACUUUAUACAGGCUAUCUAUUUUCUGUUUUCAAAGAUACUCACACAUACAUGUGCUACAGUGACAGCAUUUGUACUAGACUGCCAUUAAGGAAUGUUCUCGAAAUAAGACACUAAGUCAAAUCAAAAAAACAUCUACAGACAUUGGUCCAAUUCUAAUGGUAGUUUAAAAAGAGAAGGUAUAUGACUAGGAAACAACAGACAGGGAAACAGAAACAAAGACAAAGAGAAAGGGUGAAAGGAUUCUGAAGAGACAGUAUGGCUACAUGGUAUAGAAGAGAGAAAGUGAUGGAGAAGCAAAAGAUGGGAGAAGAGGAUGGGAAUAGUGAUGAAGUACCUCGGUUAAAGGACACUAUGUCGCUGUGCAAAGAUGCACCUAUACUCUAUGUGAGACAGAGCAAGAGAGAGAAAUCCAGAGACAGGCAGAGACAGUGAGAGAGAAUGUGCAAGAUAUACACACUCUGAUUAAUAGGCAGUAGUUCAAAUCUGAAGCAUAAGUCAAAUUAAUACAACAAUUCAAAAAUACAAAACGCACACCCACACACAACCUACAAAAACAUUAUAUCAGAAUAAAA